ensembl:snRNA U6 U6 spliceosomal RNA
GUGCUUACUUCAGCAGCACAUGUACUAAAAUUGGAAGGACACAGAGAUUAGCAUGUCCCCUGUGCAAGGAUGACACACAAAUUCAUAGAUUUUUCCAUAUUUUU